ACUCCAAGGGCUACUCACUCUGAUGGCUAGGACAUAGCCAUCAGAGUGAGUAGCCCUUGAUAUU